ensembl:lncRNA
UCCACAUUGGCAGGCAGAUUCUUAACCACGGCACCACCAGGGAAGUCCUUUUUAUACAUUAUAAAUUGAUCACAAUUGUCAUGCUUUUUACCAUCCAUCACUGUACAAGGUUACAAAUUUAUCAACUAUAUUCCUUAAGCUAUACAUCACAUCUCAGUGACUUAUUUAUUUUAUAACUGGACAUCUGUAGUGCUGAAUUCCCUUCGCCUGUUUUGUCUGCUGCCCCUCUGGCAACCACUAAUUUGUUCUCCACAUCUGUGAAGUCUGUUACUGUUUUCAUGUUUUUUCUUUUGUUUUGCAGAUUCCACAUAGUCCAUCAUGUAAAAUGCCGGGCUUGAUGAAGCACAAGGUGGCAUCAAGAAUACCGGGAGAAAUAUCACUAACCUCAGAUACACAGAUGACACCACCCUCAUGGCAGAAAGCGAAGAACUAAAGAGCCAUGAAAGUGAAAGAGGUGAGUGAAAAAGUUGGCUUAAAACUCAACAUUCAAAAACCCAAGACAUGGCAUCUGGUCCCAUUACUUCAUGGCAAAUAGAUGGGGAAACAAUGAAAACAGUGACAGACUUUAUUCUUGGGCACUCCAAAAUUGCUGCAGAUGGUGACUACAGCCAUGAAUUAAAAGAUACUUACUCCUUGGAAGAAAAGUUAUGACCAACGUAGACAGCAUAAUAAAAAUCAGAGAUAUUACUCUACCAACAAAGGUCCAUCUACUCCAAGCUCUGGUUUUUCCAGUAGUCAUGUAUGGAUGUGAGAGUUGGACUAGAAAGAAAGCUGUGUGCUGAAUAAUUGAUGCUUUUGAACUGUUGUAUUGAAGACACUUGAGAGUCCCCUGGACUGCAAGGAGAUCAAAGCAAUCAAUCCUAAAGGAAAUCAGUCCUGAAUAUUCACUGGAAGGACUGAUGCUGAAGCUGAAGCUCCAAUACUUUGGCUAGCUGAUGAGAAGAACUGACUUACUGAAAAAGACCCUGAUGCUGGGAAAGAUUGAAGGCAGGAAGAAAAGGGAAUGGCUGAGGAUGAGAUGGUUGGAUGGCAUCACCAACUCAAUGGAUGUGAGUUUGAGCAAGCUCUGGGAGUUGGUGAUGGACAGGGAAGUCUGAUGGGCUGCAGUCCAUGGGGUUGCAAAGAGUCAGACUCCACUGAGCAACUGAACUGAACUGAUGGUAUAUCUUCUUUAUCCAAUCAUGUAAUGAUAAUCAUUUAGGUUGCUUCCAUAACUUGGCAAAUAACCGUACAAUAAACAG